CGUACCAUGAGGCUAAUUUAAGUAUCGUCGAUGACAAUUCUGCUCGGAUGCAUCUGGUUAAUGGCCUACUAUGAAUUCAAAGAGGAGAUGGUCUAUGUUACCGUUAGGGUUUUGCUCUCAUCUCUAAACAGUUCUCAAACUAUAGCCAUACGAUGAGAUCAAAUCAACGAUUUGCAGGGAAUGGUCUAUGUUACCGUUAGAAAAAACUCCUGAAACCUCUUCUAUAUAUGGGCAAUUUAUUCAAGAAGCAGUGCAGAUUGUUCCGCAUUCUGGUUUUUUUGGGUUUUGUUUGUGUUUUAUUUCAUGUUUAUGGCAUGGCCAUGCCCCUUCUAUGUUUUUUUUUUCUUUUGCCUGUGUCUCCAUUUUUUUAAUUUUUUAUUUUCUGUGGAUGGUGAUUGGAGGAGGACAACAAUGAGUAGAAUUAUACAUCCUUACGAGUGGCUGAUAGGAGUUGCAGCUAAGAAAUACUUAUGCGUUUGCUAUGGAAACAGGGACAAUUAGAGAAAAUGAAUACACGGGUGUUAAAGCCAUGCAGACACAUGAAACAGGAUAAAAAUGGGCAAAAGUGCCUGUGGCAUGCCAGUGACAUGCCAGAGGCCGUCUCUAUAAAGCAAAUGAAACUAUUCAAACUUUCUAGGCUUGGGGCUGAAUACAGUCAUGGGGUUUGCAUUAAAUCUUUUUCUUUUGAGGAAUGACUGUAGACAAAUCAGAGUUCAGUUCUCAGUUUGGUCAUGCUUCUUAUAUUCAUGCCCAAAGUUGGUUUGUACUGAGAUGUUUGGCUUGGUCAUACUUUCGGUUAAAUGCCUUCCUUGCAAUUAUUUUAUUGUGAAUUUAAUGUAGGUUGAAGUUUUUUUUCCUUAAAUUUAGUUGCACAUGUUUCUUUAUUUCAUUUUUUUCCAAAUUAUGUCAAUCAUGUAGACUGUUGCAGGUUUCCUGCAAAUCUGAAAAGAUUCAAUAACAAUGUUCAUAAAAUCAUGUAUAAUGUGUUAAAGACGUC